AGGUAAAUACUUGAAGGACCAGGAUGUUAUUAUAUUUCCUUGGUACAAAGCCAAGUGUGACCAGCUGCUUCUAACAAACAGCAGUCCAGCAAGAAACAUUGUGUAUCUCUUUCAAAAUUUUUUUCAAAUUUUUACAAAGGGCUUGAUGUUCCUCUCGACCUUCCCUAGAGCACAAUCAUGUUAGUUUCCAAGUUCUCCUCUGUUGGAUGCCAGUGAACAAAAUUUGGAAUACACAUUCAGACCAGAGGCUGACCAAUCUAAAAUAUAGAUAUGAUCAGAGACUGACAAAGGGAGGAGUGCGUCAAUCUUCACUUACAGGUCCUGACACCGAUGGCAUUAGAUAAAGACUCAUUCGUGUCGAGCAGCAGAGAUUAGAAAAUUCGAACAAACUC